rnacentral:rRNA from 1 species
UAAGGAAUAUUGGUCAAUGGACGCAAGUCUGAACCAGCCAUGCCGCGUGGAGGAUGAAGGUCCUCUGGAUUGUAAACUUCUUUUAUCUGGGACGAAACACUUCUUUUCUAAGAGGCCUGACGGUACCAGAUGAAUAAGCACCGGCUAACUCCGUGCCAGCAGCCGCGGUAAUACGGAGGGUGCAAGCGUUAUCCGGAUUCACUGGGUUUAAAGGGUGCGUAGGUGGGUAUGUAAGUCAGUGGUGAAAUCCCCGAGCUUAACUUGGGAACUGCCAUUUAUACUAUAUAUCUUGAAUACCGUAGAGGUAAGCGGAAUAUGUCAUGUAGCGGUGAAAUGCUUAGAUAUGACAUGGAACACCAAUUGCGAAGGCAGCUUACUAUGCGGUGAUUGACACUGAGGCACGAAAGCGUGGGUAGCAAACA